rnacentral:rRNA from 1 species
UACGUAGGGUGCAAGCGUUAAUCGGAAUUACUGGGCGUAAAGCGUGCGCAGGCGGCUUUGCAAGACAGAUGUGAAAUCCCCGGGCUUAACCUGGGAACUGCAUUUGUGACUGCAAGGCUAGAGUACGGUAGAGGGGGAUGGAAUUCCGCGUGUAGCAGUGAAAUGCGUAGAUAUCGGAGGAACACCAGUGGCGAAGGCGACUACCUGGCCUGUUCUUGACGCUGAGGCGCGAAAGCGUGGGGAGCAAACAGG